rnacentral:rRNA from 1 species
GACGAACGCUGGCGGCGUGCUUAACACAUGCAAGUCGAACGGAAAGGCCCUGCUUUUGUGGGGUGCUCGAGUGGCGAACGGGUGAGUAACACGUGAGUAACCUGCCCUUUACUUUGGGGUAACUUCAGGAAACUGGGGCUACUACCGGCUAGGAGCUCCUGCUGCAUGGUGGGGGUUGGAACGUUUAGGCGGUUGGGGAUGGACGCGCGGCUUAUCAGCUUGUUGGUGGGGUAGUGGCUUACCAAGGGUUUGACGGGUAGCCGGCCUGGGAGGGUGACCGGCGACAAUGGGACUGAGAUACGGAGCAGAGUGCAACGGGAGGCAGCAGUGGGGAAUAUGGCACAAUGGGCGGACGCCUGAUGCAGCAACGCCGCGGGCGGGAUGACGGCCUUCGGGGUGUAAACCGCUUUCGCCUGUGACGAAGCGUGAGUGACGGUAAUGGGUAAAGAAGCACCGGCUAACUACGUG